GGACUGGUGCAGACAGCGCGCCUGCCAGGCGCCCUGAGCCUCACAAAAGGACAGGAUGUGUUCAUUUAGCAGCUACCCAGCAUCUAUGGGGUUGCCAAUACCAUCCAGACUGCAGCUGUGGUGUAAUCUAAACAAUGACUCACAUUGUUGAGGAGUAUCCGUUGACUAACCUGAAGCUUUUGUGAUGACCACAUCAUCCAUAUAUCACAUGUGCCAUCAUUCAAACCAACAAAUGGAGUUUGAAUAAUCCCUGUGGUCUCUUCCUGUCUUCUUCUUUGUCAUCAGCAUGAAUGAACACAUGUCGAAAGCUUGAAAAAAAUACUUUGCAAGUGCAGUCACUGUUGUAAUGAAAGAAAUGUAAUGAGGUAAAUCAACAAUUAAUUUAAGCAUGUCUAGGACUUGGAAUCAACAUCGAGCAGAGUCUUUCAGGAAUGAGAUGAUAAAAGAUUGGAACGCUCAUCCAAACAAAAAUAGCAACUGAUGUGAGAUCAAUAUCAAUGCUAGAUCAAUCAUUACAGUUAAAUCUAAGAUAAAGAUCUGUGAUGCAGAUAAAUGACAAGUGCCUGCUUAAAAUCUUCCAGAAUUGUGAUGAAGAUGAAUUUGAUUUGACCUCACCUCAGGCGUUAAA